rnacentral:lncRNA from 1 species
UGUUUUGUGAAAGAGGCUUUGGAACACCUGAUGCUUUUUGACUGCAACUCUUAAAGGAUGGCGCCCUGGAGCAUUUUGUGUCCUGCAGCAGCACACAUCCUGAAAGCCAGUGCAGGGCUGCCCAGUUUGAUUUUUUUAUGGUUUCUAGAGAGUGCCAGGAAUAGGAACAAAUGAGAUUACACAGUGAGGACACAAGCUCCAAGAACAGACGAGUUGAUGGAGGAAGACAAAGUACAGAGCAGAGAGGAAUGUCAACAGUCAAGAAAAGAGAUACAACAAAGCAAAUUUAAAAAGGAGACUUUACAAUUAAUUGCAAACUGGCCAUUUCACACACCAGGUCACUAAAACCAGCCUAAGGAGCGAAUCCAUAUGAAGAAAUGCCAUGAGGCCAGAGGGGGUGAUAAUCUUUGGUGGAGAAAACAACUCCAGGGAAAUGUACAGAAAAACAAGACACAAUAUGGAAUGGAGCUGCUCAUCAUAAAAAGCCACCAACUGAAGGCAAGUGAGCGAUACUGUGCUGGUAUAUCAAAUAAAGUGCUCUACGUCAGGUAUGAGCAACAGUCCUCUCUGCUAUACAGGAAUAUGUGCUUGUUUUAAGCACCAUUGUUUUGAGAAAAUUACAGACUGGAGAGUUGAGAAGGGAAGAACCAUCUGGAAGCAUGUUUCCUGAGACAGAUUAAAAUAUUAAGUUUGCUUAGUCUAGGAAAGAAAAGACUGAAAAGGUAUGUUGUGGUCCUUUCAUACAGAGCAGAUGUUUCAAAGAUAGUGAUGGCUUGUUUUUUCUGUUCCAUGCUAUUGCCAAGACAUCCCAUCCCAUUCUUCUAGGUGAAUUGUGAAUAAUUUAAACUUUGUAUGUCCACUUGGAAUAUCUUUUUCCUCUGAUCAGCAUCUAAAAAUGGAGUCCCUUCUCUCCUCUAUCCCUGUAGUUAUAAAACUUUGAAAUAAUUUUCCAGUUUAGUAUUAUUUUUAGUAAUGUUCCAAAUACUUCCAAGUGAAAAGGACACAAAGAGAAAAGCUUUUAUAUAACUUGUCACAAGAGGUCUGACAAAAUUCACAGUUAUGAUGUACCUCUUUUCAUCAGCUUUCAUGUGUUCCUUUAUUUGAAGCAAUGGUACUGGAUUGUGUCCACAAAACAUCACUAAAAAGGGAUGUUAAUGAGAACAUCACCAGAAUAUUUGAGUCAUAGCUAAAAAGAGAAACCAAGAAAAGACUUUUCAAAGAAAAUAAGUUUCACUGGAAAUGUGUAAAAUUAGGUCAUUUUCAUGCAAUGAAAAAUACAGUCAAAGAGAAAAAAAAAUCCUAGAAUGCAAUAUCUGACUUCCCUGUGUUGUCUGCAAUUUCCUCCCAAAAUUGUCAGAUGGAGCAUUAGGAGAAGACAAUGCAAGCAUUUUUCAUAUCUUGGUAUCUGGAGAUAAUUUCCAGUGCUAUUGAUUAUGACAGAUAUUGCCUGGAAUAAGAAAUUGAGUCUGGAAAAUCAAAGGUUAUGGACUGUACCCGGGAAAUUACUGGAAAAAGCAUUUCCUGCUUCUAAUGGCAUUAUGUAGAAAAUUCUUCCAUGUACCAUGUCAUGCCAUGGUGGGGAGGACUUCACCCACAAAGAAUACGGAGGAACACUUCGAUCUCAGUAAUGUGAAAAUCAGUGUAUUUUCUGGAAAGAGUAUCAGAAAGAGGUUUUUUUUUUGCAUUUUUGUUUGGUUAGUUGGUUCAAUUGGUUUGGGGUUAUCUUCUAAUUGUAUAGAUAUUACAUAAAUAUAUCCAUGAUCUGCCAUCACAGAAAAAGAAAAUGUUCUUCUGAG